CUAAGCUCUGGUCUCCACCCUCCCUACAGCAAACUGGGUACCAUGCAGAAGUCUUUGUGCCAGGAGAGAUGCAUUGUUUGCAGGAUCCAAGGCUGCUGCAGCUAAGCCCCCUCCAGUCAUUGUUAAAGACCUUUGUCCUUGACCAUAAAUCAAUGAAGAAGUAAUCAAGAAGCAAUGAAACCCUGAAAAAAAAACAGAGAGAAAGAAGGAAAUUCAAGAUUUUUGGCUUCUGUAGAUACAUCAGGAGGUCCAGGUCAUGUGACUUCACAUAAACACAGCUAGAUUUUCUCA